rnacentral:rRNA from 1 species
UGGGUGGCGAGUGGCGGACGGGUGAGGAAUACAUCGGAAUCUACCUUUUCGUGGGGGACAACGUAGGGAAACUUACGCUAAUACCGCAUACGACCUUAGGGUGAAAGCGGAGGACCUUCGGGCUUCGCGCGGAUAGAUGAGCCGAUGUCGGAUUAGCUAGUUGGCGGGGUAAAGGCCCACCAAGGCGACGAUCCGUAGCUGGUCUGAGAGGAUGAUCAGCCACACUGGAACUGAGACACGGUCCAGACUCCUACGGGAGGCAGCAGUGGGGAAUAUUGGACAAUGGGCGCAAGCCUGAUCCAGCCAUGCCGCGUGGGUGAAGAAGGCCUUCGGGUUGUAAAGCCCUUUUGUUGGGAAAGAAAAGCAGUCGGUUAAUACCCGAUUGUUCUGACGGUACCCAAAGAAUAAGCACCGGCUAACUUCGUGCCAGCAGCCGCGGUAAUACGAAGGGUGCAAGCGUUACUCGGAAUUACUGGGCGUAAAGCGUGCGUAGGUGGUUGUUUAAGUCCGUUGUGAAAGCCCUGGGCUCAACCUGGGAAUUGCAGUGGAUACUGGGCAACUAGAGUGUGGUAGAGGAUGGCGGAAUUCCCGGUGUAGCAGUGAAAUGCGUAGAGAUCGGGAGGAACAUCUGUGGCGAAGGCGGCCAUCUGGACCAACACUGACACUGAG